GACGAACGCUGGCGGCGUGCUUAACACAUGCAAGUCGAACGGAAAGGCCCUGCUUUUGUGGGGUGCUCGAGUGGCGACCGGGUGAGUACCAGGUGAUUAACCUGCCUUUGACUUGGGGAUAACUUCAGGAAACUGGGGCUAAUACCGGAUAGGGGUUCCUGCUGCUGGGUGGGGGUUGAAAAGUUUCGGCGGUUGGGGAUGGACUCGCGGCUUAUCAGCUUGUUGGUGGGGUAGUGGCUUACCAAGGCUUUGACGGGUAGCCGGCCUGAGAGGGUGACCGGCCACAUUGGGACUGAGAUACGGCCCAGACUCCUACGGGAGGCAGCAGUGGGGAAUAUUGCACAAUGGGCGGAAGCCUGAUGCAGCAACGCCGCGUGCGGGAUGACGGCCUUCGGGUUGUAAACCGCUUUCGCCUGUGACGAAGCGUGAGUGACGGUAAUGGGUAAAGAAGCACCGGCUAACUACGUG
rnacentral:rRNA from 1 species